UUUGUUUUUUUUUUACUGCCAGCUUCCAUUCAGUCUGAGAUAUUAAGAAUAAAUAAAUGUGCAUAAUGUGGAAAUGAACAGAUUUUAUUUUUAUUUAUUCCUACAGCUGCAGGUAAAGUUCCAGAAUGUGGAGGAAUUUAGUCUCACAAUCACAGACAAUCAAUAUUAUCUGAAAGUCGGGUUAUUGUUGUUUAUCAGCACAAUACAAAAAGAUUCAUGUUAGACAUAUUCCAGUUAAGACUCUAGAAUAUCAGGAAUUAUGUAAAUUUACCUCAGUAAUAUGAAUGUUAAGGUUAAGAUUGUGCAGUGAUAUUUAUUAUGCAAGUUUAGCUGAUUAAAGUGUAUGACUCUGCACUACAAUAUUAUUUAUUAUUUAAAUUUACAUCAUUAUUAUUAUAUUUAAGGUCAGACCCUACAGUAUUGAGAUUAAGAAAAAAAGAAGAAAAAAAGAGAGAUUAAGAAAUCAAACAUUCUAUAAAAUGUAAAUACACUGAACUCAUUUGGAUAUAUUUAAGUGAGACUCUACAAUAUUAUUUAUGACACAACUCUAUCUAAAUCAACAUUUUAAUCAUUUUUACUUCAAACAUUUACUGGACUGAUUUAAAUAUUAAAAUCACUCCUUUCUAAUCCUCUGCUGUAUGUUCAAACCUGAGGCCUGAAAUAGAAACACACAAGUAUCUGUUUGAAGGAACUUCUGCAGAGUCCUGGUUCCACAACAUGAUGAUAGAAUUAUAGACAAACUUUAACAAAAGCUGCCUGAGAGUUUACAGGUUUUUAUGUUAGAUUUCUUCAGUAAUUUAAUGAGCGUUAUCAGCAAUCAUCAAGUGUUCAUUUGAUGAACUUCAUUUCCUAAAACAUCCAGAAUUGGAGCUCAUAUCUUUGGCAGCUGUAAAGUUUCUGCUCCUUCAAAGUUCACAACACAAUGAAUUAAUUCCUAAAACACUCUCAGUGCUGGAGAGCGUUUGAUGCUGAAGCAGUGAUCAGUUUUUCUGUUUCUUCUCUGGAGAUGCACAAUGAGGGACGUCUGCAGAGACUGAGAAAGAGUCUCACCACAUCCUGACAUGAGGAAAAAGACUUUAUUGAAGACUACAAUGAGAAAAACUAUCAGACAGCAGACGGCUGCAUUCAAGUCUGUAGCUGCUGAAUUCAUGGAUGAAUCAUCUGGCAUUAGAGAGGAAGACCAUCAAACAUCCACGUCAGCUGAUGGAGGUCCAAGAGUCUCACCGAACAAACAACCUACAGAGUGAAGACCUGGAAUCUGAUU
ensembl:lncRNA